AGGCAGAAAUGAAGGGAAGUUCCGACAUUUCAUCAUUCUCUUUGUUUCUUGGCUGCCUCGUGGUAAGGAACUACUGGAGGAAGACUCAUGCCUAGUAUUUGCUGAACCUGAAAACUUCUUUAAGCUGCAGUUGUUGUGCUGGCCUCCUAGGAUAUUCAGCAGCUGGUCCUGUCACCUUCCAGAUAUUCAUAUGCUCAGCCAAAUCUGCAUAACUGUAAAUCAACACUAAGAGCAGUGGAAGGUUAAAGGUAAAGGAGAGUCUCACAAAGGAUCCAGGAACUCCUGGUGGAAGAGUCAUGCCCAGUACUUGCGGCACCUGAAAACUUCCUUAAGCAGCUGUUGUUGUGCUGGCCUCCUAGGAUAUUCAGCAGCUGG
rnacentral:lncRNA from 1 species